GGAUACUGUUUGGCUUGGGACCGGGAGAGGUGAGAGGUACCUUGGGGGUAGGGGUGAAAUCUUGUGAUCCUCGAGGGACCACCAGUGGCGAAGGCGUCUCACCAGAACGGGUCCGACGGUAAGGGACGAAAGCUAGGGGCACGAACCGGAUUAGAUACCCGGGUAGUCCUAGCCGUAAACGAUGCUCGCUAGGUGUCAGUCACGGUGCGACCGUGAUUGGUGCCGUAGGGAAGCCGUGAAGCGAGCCACCUGGGAAGUAUGGCCGCAAGGCUGAAACUUAAAGGAAUUGGCGGGGGAGCACUACAACGGGUGGAGCCUGCGGUUUAAUUGGAUUCAACGCCGGAAAUCUCACCGGGGGCGACAGCGAUAUGAAGGUCAGGCUGAAGACUUUACCGGAUUAGCUGAGAGGUGGUGCAUGGCCGUCGUCAGUUCGUACUGUGAAGCAUCCUGUUAAGUCAGGUAACGAGCGAGACCC
rnacentral:rRNA from 1 species